AUGAAGCAGCAGGGCUUGGGCGGCGUGCGGUUCGAGUCGCAGCGGUUCCGGCUGCUGUCCAUCGUCGUCGGCUGCUUCCUCAUCUCCGUCACCUUCCUCCUCUCCACCCGCCCCGAGGCCACCGUCUUCGACACACUGAGCCCCAAGAUGGCGUGGUUGGAGGAACCGCGGAGCACGCCGGCGACGUCGGCCAUCAAGACCGUCAAGUCCUCCUCCUCCUCGCCCCGUGGCUUGGGCCGGGAUUUCCUGGUGGACGUCGCGCCAAAGCUGGGAGACGCCCUUGGCCGGCAGCCGGAGCAGAGCGCCGGCGAAAAGACAGAGACGGAAUGGGUUAAGGACACGGUGAUAAUCCAGGAGAGCAGCGCCGUCGCCGCCGAGAGGGCAGAGCAGGAGGAGGCAGAGCAAGGCCACGGCGCCGGCGAGGACGCUACACCAGGUGCGACGGAGGAGGUGGUCCGCGACGACGCCGUGCCGAUCACGGCCGCCGCGAUCACCGCACGUCCGGCCGUGGAGCCGACGCCGACGCCUACGACGACUACUCGGCACGACCAGGACCAGCUGCUGCCAAUGCCAGAGGGGGAGACCCGUAAGGCCGGCGGCCGGAUGAUGAAGCUCCAGGCCGAGCCGGAGACGACGGAGCAGCAGCAGCUGCCGACGCCGGGGAGGUUCGAGACGCCGGAACCGGAACGUGCCGCCCGGGACCAGCAGCCUCUGCCGCCGCUGUGCGACUUCUCCGACCGCCGCAGCGACGUCUGCGACUUCACCGGCGACAUCCGCAUGGACGCCAACGCGUCGUCGUUCGUCGUGGUCGUCGACGCCGCGACAGCCGCGCAGUCGCACAAGGUGCGGCCGUACCCGCGCAAGGGCGACCAGACAUGCAUGGGCCGCGUCCCCGAGAUCACCGUGCGGACGACGUCCUCUUCGUCGACGCCCCCGCCACCGCAGUGCACGAGGACGCACAGCGUGCCGGCGGUGACGUUCUCGAUCGGCGGGUACACGGGCAACAUCUUCCACGACUUCUCGGACGUGCUGGUCCCGCUCUACAACACGGUGCACCGGUACCGCGGCGACGUGCAGCUGGUGAUGGCGAACGUGGCGCCCUGGUGGCUUGUCAAGUACGACAAGCUCCUCCGCGAGCUCUCUCGCCACGCGCCGCUGGACCUCGCCGCGGCGGCCGCUAAGGGAGAGACGCACUGCUUCCGGCACGCGGUGGUGAGCCUCCGCGCGCACCGGGAGCUCAUCAUCGAGCGCAACCGCAGCCCGGACGGCCUCGCGACGCCGGACUUCACCCGGUUCAUCCGGCGCGCGCUCUCCCUGCCCCGCGACGCGCCCACCCGGCUCGCCGACGGCACGGGCCGCAAGCCCCGGCUGCUGAUCAUCGCGCGGCACCGGACGCGCAUCCUGCUGAACCUGGGCGACAUGAUGCGCGUGGCGGAGGAGGCCGGGUUCGAGGCGGCGGUGAGCGAGUCGGACGUGGGUGACUCCAUCUCGCGGGUCGGGGCGGAGAUCAACUCCGCCGACGUGCUGCUGGGCGUGCACGGCGCCGGACUGACCAACAUGAUGUUCCUGGCGCCGGGAGCGACGAUGGUGCAGGUGGUGCCGUGGGGCGGGCUGCAGUGGAUCGCCCGCAUGGACUACGGCGACCCGGCGGAGGCCAUGGGGCUCCGGUACGUGCAGUACGAGAUCGGCGUGGAGGAGAGCUCGCUCAAGGACAAGUACCCGAGGGGACACAAGAUCUUCACCGACCCGACGUCGCUGCACAAGAAGGGCUUCGGGUUCAUGCGCCGGACGCUCAUGGACGGCCAGAACAUCACCCUCGACCUCGGCCGGUUCCGCGGCGUGCUCCAGCAGGCGCUCGGCAACUACCUCGUGCAGUAG
rnacentral:rRNA from 1 species